GACGAACGCUGGCGGCGUGCUUAACACAUGCAAGUCGAACGGAAAGGCCCUGCUUUUGUGGGGUGCUCGAGUGGCGAACGGGUGAGUAACACGUGAGUAACCUGCCCUUGACUUUGGGAUAACUUCAGGAAACUGGGGCUAAUACCGGAUAGGAGCUCCUGCUGCAUGGUGGGGGUUGGAAAGUUUCGGCGGUUGGGGGUGGACUCGCGGCUUAUCAGCUUGUUGGUGGGGUAGUGGCUUACCAAGGGUUUGACGGGUAGCCGGCCUGGGAGGGUGACCGGCGACAUUGGGCCUGAGAUACGGCCCAGACUCCAACGGGAGGCAGCAGUGGGGAAUAUUGCACAAUGGGCGGAAGCCUGAUGCAGCAACGCCGCGUGCGGGAUGACGGCCUUCGGGUUGUAAACCGCUUUCGCCUGUGACGAAGCGUGAGUGACGGUAAUGAGUAAAGAAGCACCGGCUAACUACGUG
rnacentral:rRNA from 1 species